rnacentral:misc_RNA from 1 species
GCACAACCCUCAGCUCAUAACACAAACAUACAAUUUUCUUCUUCUUCUUCUUUGGGGACACUAUCAAACACCUUUCUCUGAUCUCUCCACCUGCAACUCGCACCCAGUAGUGGUCUCUUAGCAGGCCUCUGUUGGAUGCUGUGUUGCUAAUUUCCUUGAUUUUCUUUGAGGUCAAGAAGAUUUCUUGCUAGAUCUUUCAUCGAUCAGCUCUUGGGAUGUCAUCUCUUGGCAAGAGCUUUCGCUUAUCUUCAUCUCUCAAUGAAGAGUUCAUGGUUACCAAGAAACAGGGCAUAGUGUCCAUUCUUGGUUCUGACUGCGAAAGAAGCAAAUCUGCAGCUUCUUUAAGGAGAACUCUUUCAGCUGAUAUGUCCUCCAAGAAAUGGCUAUCUCAACAUGGGUUCUCUCCACUCAAGAAAAUUGCCUCUUCUGAAGAAUUCCUAGUUUCCAUUGCAGACUCUUCAUCUUCAUCAUCGGAAGCGGAAGAAGAGUAUGACAAUGGAAGGCAGAAAGUGACCGAGCCUCGAGGACAAUUCGAGAUUUGGAGUUCAAUUCAACAAGACAAGAAGAACAAGGAAGAGCUCGAAAAGCCUGGUCAGUUUGACAUAUGGAGCUCAAUCUUAUCGCAGAAAGCACAUGAGGACAACAAAAAUCUUCCACCU